CGGUGGAUGCCUUGGCACUAGAAGCCGAUGAAGGACGUUACUAACGACGAUAUGCUUUGGGGAGCUGUAAGUAAGCUUUGAUCCAGAGAUUUCCGAAUGGGGAAACCCAGCAUGAGUUAUGUCAUGUUAUCGAUAUGUGAAUACAUAGCAUAUCAGAAGGCACACCCGGAGAACUGAAACAUCUUAGUAACCGGAGGAAGAGAAAGAAAAUUCGAUUCCCUUAGUAGCGGCGAGCGAAACGGGAAGAGCCCAAACCAACAAGCUUGCUUGUUGGGGUUGUAGGACACUCUAUACGGAGUUACAAAGGACGACAUUAGACGAAUCAUCUGGAAAGAUGAAUCAAAGAAGGUAAUAAUCCUGUAGUCGAAAAUGUUGUCUCUCUUGAGUGGAUCCUGAGUACGACGGAGCACGUGAAAUUCCGUCGGAAUCUGGGAGGACCAUCUCCUAAGGCUAAAUACUCUCUAGUGACCGAUAGUGAACCAGUACCGUGAGGGAAAGGUGAAAAGCACCCCGGAAGGGGAGUGAAAUAGAACCUGAAACCGUGUGCUUACAAGUAGUCAGAGCCCGUUAAUGGGUGAUGGCGUGCCUUUUGUAGAAUGAACCGGCGAGUUACGAUUUGAUGCAAGGUUAAGCAGUAAAUGUGGAGCCGUAGCGAAAGCGAGUCUGAAUAGGGCGUUUAGUAUUUGGUCGUAGACCCGAAACCAGGUGAUCUACCCUUGGUCAGGUUGAAGUUCAGGUAACACUGAAUGGAGGACCGAACCGACUUACGUUGAAAAGUGAGCGGAUGAACUGAGGGUAGCGGAGAAAUUCCAAUCGAACCUGGAGAUAGCUGGUUCUCUCCGAAAUAGCUUUAGGGCUAGCCUCAAGUGAUGAUUAUUGGAGGUAGAGCACUGUUUGGACGAGGGGCCCCUCUCGGGUUACCGAAUUCAGACAAACUCCGAAUGCCAAUUAAUUUAACUUGGGAGUCAGAACAUGGGUGAUAAGGUCCGUGUUCGAAAGGGAAACAGCCCAGACCACCAGCUAAGGUCCCAAAAUAUAUGUUAAGUGGAAAAGGAUGUGGCGUUGCCCAGACAACUAGGAUGUUGGCUUAGAAGCAGCCAUCAUUUAAAGAGUGCGUAAUAGCUCACUAGUCGAGUGACACUGCGCCGAAAAUGUACCGGGGCUAAACAUAUUACCGAAGCUGUGGAUUGUCCUUUGGACAAUGGUAGGAGAGCGUUCUAAGGGCGUUGAAGCAUGAUCGUAAGGACAUGUGGAGCGCUUAGAAGUGAGAAUGCCGGUGUGAGUAGCGAAAGACGGGUGAGAAUCCCGUCCACCGAUUGACUAAGGUUUCCAGAGGAAGGCUCGUCCGCUCUGGGUUAGUCGGGUCCUAAGCUGAGGCCGACAGGCGUAGGCGAUGGAUAACAGGUUGAUAUUCCUGUACCACCUAUAAUCGUUUUAAUCGAUGGGGGGACGCAGUAGGAUAGGCGAAGCGUGCGAUUGGAUUGCACGUCUAAGCAGUAAGGCUGAGUAUUAGGCAAAUCCGGUACUCGUUAAGGCUGAGCUGUGAUGGGGAGAAGACAUUGUGUCUUCGAGUCGUUGAUUUCACACUGCCGAGAAAAGCCUCUAGAUAGAAAAUAGGUGCCCGUACCGCAAACCGACACAGGUAGUCAAGAUGAGAAUUCUAAGGUGAGCGAGCGAACUCUCGUUAAGGAACUCGGCAAAAUGACCCCGUAACUUCGGGAGAAGGGGUGCUCUUUAGGGUUAACGCCCAGAAGAGCCGCAGUGAAUAGGCCCAAGCGACUGUUUAUCAAAAACACAGGUCUCUGCUAAACCGUAAGGUGAUGUAUAGGGGCUGACGCCUGCCCGGUGCUGGAAGGUUAAGAGGAGUGGUUAGCUUCUGCGAAGCUACGAAUCGAAGCCCCAGUAAACGGCGGCCGUAACUAUAACGGUCCUAAGGUAGCGAAAUUCCUUGUCGGGUAAGUUCCGACCCGCACGAAAGGCGUAACGAUUUGGGCACUGUCUCAACGAGAGACUCGGUGAAAUCAUAGUACCUGUGAAGAUGCAGGUUACCCGCGACAGGACGGAAAGACCCCGUGGAGCUUUACUGUAGCCUGAUAUUGAAAUUCGGCACAGCUUGUACAGGAUAGGUAGGAGCCUUUGAAACGUGAGCGCUAGCUUACGUGGAGGCGCUGGUGGGAUACUACCCUAGCUGUGUUGGCUUUCUAACCCGCACCACUUAUCGUGGUGGGAGACAGUGUCAGGCGGGCAGUUUGACUGGGGCGGUCGCCUCCUAAAAGGUAACGGAGGCGCUCAAAGGUUCCCUCAGAAUGGUUGGAAAUCAUUCAUAGAGUGUAAAGGCAUAAGGGAGCUUGACUGCGAGACCUACAAGUCGAGCAGGGUCGAAAGACGGACUUAGUGAUCCGGUGGUUCCGCAUGGAAGGGCCAUCGCUCAACGGAUAAAAGCUACCCCGGGGAUAACAGGCUUAUCUCCCCCAAGAGUUCACAUCGACGGGGAGGUUUGGCACCUCGAUGUCGGCUCAUCGCAUCCUGGGGCUGUAGUCGGUCCCAAGGGUUGGGCUGUUCGCCCAUUAAAGCGGUACGCGAGCUGGGUUCAGAACGUCGUGAGACAGUUCGGUCCCUAUCCGUCGUGGGCGUAGGAAAUUUGAGAGGAGCUGUCCUUAGUACGAGAGGACCGGGAUGGACAUACCUCUGGUGUACCAGUUGUCGUGCCAACGGCAUAGCUGGGUAGCUAUGUGUGGACGGGAUAAGUGCUGAAAGCAUCUAAGCAUGAAGCCCCCCUCAAGAUGAGAUUUCCCAACUUCGGUUAUAAGAUCCCUCAAAGAUGAUGAGGUUAAUAGGUUCGAGGUGGAAGCAUGGUGACAUGUGGAGCUGACGAAUACUAA
rnacentral:rRNA from 1 species